AGCAGCCGCCACGGGAAAACGAAGGGGGCUAGCGUUGUUCGGAUUUACCGGGCGUAAAGGGCGCGUAGGCGGACUGAUAAGUCAGGGGUGAAAUCCCAAGGCUCAACCUUGGAACUGCCUUUGAUACUGUUUGUCUUGAGUUCGAGAGAGGUAAGUGGAACUGCGAGUGUAGAGGUGAAAUUCGUAGAUAUUCGCAAGAACACCAGUGGCGAAGGCGGCUUACUGGCUCGAAACUGACGCUGAGGCGCGAAAGCGUGGGGAGCAAACAGGAUUAGAUACCCCAGUAGUCCCUGUCUCUUAUAA
rnacentral:rRNA from 1 species